rnacentral:rRNA from 1 species
GACGAACCGUGCGAACGUUGUUCGGAAUCACUGGGCUUAAAGGGCGCGUAGGCGGGCUCGCAAGUCAGGGGUGAAAGCCCACGGCUCAACCGUGGAAGUGCCUUUGAUACUGCAAAUCUCGAGUCCGAUAGAGGUGGGUGGAAUUCCUAGUGUAGAGGUGAAAUUCGUAGAUAUUAGGAAGAACACCGGUGGCGAAGGCGGCCCACUGGAUCGGUACUGACGCUGAGGUGCGAAAGCGUGGGGAGCAAACAGG